rnacentral:tRNA from 1 species
GCCUUCGUGGUGUAGUGGUCAGCGCGCUCGACGUGUAUUCGAGAUAUCCGAAGUUCGAAUCUCGGGGAGGGUA